GUGAAUCAUCGAAUUUUUGAACGCAAAUUGCACUAUCCUCGGAGAGUAUGCCUGUUUGAGGGUCAGCCGAUAAAAAAACGACAUCGAUGUGGUUUCGGGGUGGCGUUCGACGGAAAUUGGGCAAUCUUAAAUAUUUAGGUUUUAAGGGGCUUAAAUCUUUAUUUUGGUUACAUGAAGGUUUCUAAGAUCUAUGACUUAUCACGCUUAA
rnacentral:misc_RNA from 1 species